AUAAUUUCCAGAUAAACCGACACAAACACUCGAAGCGAUAACACACUUUUAGGAGUAAUAAAUAUAGACAACGUGCACUGCAAUCAGGUGUAUAAAUAGGCUCGUCUUGUUUCAGACUGCAUUCAUUCAUUCACUGAAGGAAAACGCGAAAUCGUUCAACUUACAAAAAAAAAAAAACAAAAAAAAAACAAGAAAAAUGUCCUCCGUUUUGAGAAUCGUUUUAAUUGCAUUGAUGGUUGUUUGCUUUUUGAUGGCAUUUGCAGAAGCAUCACCGUUCGACACUGAGCCUGCAGCAGAAGCAUCGCAAGCAGCGUGUUUGCCAGCUAGCUGUCAAUCGUAUGGCUGCUGCUCCGGAAACUGUGGCUAUUGGUGUCGAGCUUGCAACAUUAACUACGUUUGCUAAAACUGCACCACCUGCACUGUAUGUUGGGAACAUAUUGAUUUAUAAACUCUUUCCGUCGAAUUGUAAAAAUUAUUUGUAAUUAAAGUAAAUUUAAAAAAUUAACAAAAAAAA